AUGGUGGUGACCCGAACGGCAGGUUGACAUUACACAAAGACCUCGAUGAGGACAGACGUGGGAUGGGGCUGGAGAGUGCCAGCACCACCCUGGACCCCUCGGUGCCUGGCACCUCCUCCUGCCACCAGGCCGGAGUGCAGGCUGUGGUGGCCUCUGCAGAGCCUGGAUGGGAGCACUAAGGCCCCCGGGCCCUUUGGAGGACGACCAGUGGGCCUCCUGCACUUGGACAGCUCUGCCCGGAGGAGGAGCAGGCACAUCUGGAAUUCCCUCUGCCCAUGCACAGGUCUCAGGCCCGUCCAGGGCCACCCACUCCCAGGGCCUCAGUUCACCGGCUGCAGGAAGGAGGGGCAGGAGACCGGCUGUGUGGCCUCAUCAGCAUCUGGGCCACCGGGAAGAGCCAUCCAAGUGUCUGAAGCCAGAGCCAUGAGCACUUGUCCUUCUUCAGUCUUAUCCCCAGGAAUGUGGACGUCACUGUGGUCAGCUCACAGACACCUCAGCGCUGUGAGGUCUCAGGUGAAGGAAGUGUGGCUUCCACAGAAACAACACACAGAGACACGGGGGCCCCAAAAAGCCACUGACCCAGUCCUCCUGCUUUCCGGGGGGAACUACAACCACACAGCCACAAGGCUGGUGCUGAGAAGUUGUGGCCUGCGGGGGCAAACCACAACUGUGUCCUUUAAAAGUGUCCUUUGCACACCCAUGUUCACUGAAGCACUGUUCCAGGAGCCAAAAGAUACUAGAAACCAAUGUGGACAGCUGGACACCCCGGGGCAUUGCGUCAGAAGAUGGACAGGCUCAUGAAGGUCAGCGCCUGGCUGCCCGGGCCUCACUGUCUGCUCCGCAGCUGGGCGCCCGGUGCUUCUCACCCUGCCCCACACAGCAGCGCUUUAUGCAUCCUCAUAGGAUGUCCUUACACUUUGCCCGGCUAUCACCAAUCUGCUCCAGAAUUCAACAAAAGCUUGUAUGUGGCUUAACAGAGAAUCCUAACUUCAGUUCUUCCAGGAUCAUGUGCCAAUGCAAAAGCCAGUGACCCUCCGACCUGGGAGGCAAGGCCACCCAGAGGCGGGGCAGCUAGCAACAGCACUCUGACAGAAGCGGCUGUUUUUGUUUUAAACAGACCCAGAGCUUUACACGAAUAAAAUACACAUCCCUACGUGAUACUACAAUGUGACGGGGGCAUGUUUCUGCACUGACUACUAGUGACGUGCUGCCGUAAAGAUGCUUUACAAAUCAUCAAAUCAGAUCCAAUUUUCGUCAGAGACAGGGAACCAAAUUUUUGAAAAUACAUCUCAAAUCUCCAGAAAGGCCACCUUUCUUGGACCAGGUGGCCUCAGGGAGGAUGAGAUGUGUCUAAGGAUCAGAACUGCUCCUGUCACCUCGGCUUGGUCUGUCCUCUAAAGCGCUUAGAUUCCAGGCAGCUGUGUGGACUCACUAAGGGAACCAUCUCUGUUAGAACUUUAUUUUCAGCAGAAGAAAGAAGAUCCGACAUUGCAUCUCUCUCUCUCUUACUCUGGAGGGAUCCCCCAAACCAGAAGAGAGAGGAACACAGUGUCGGGCUUUUUGAACAAGAUCUCUGUGCCGUCCCUGUGGCCCCGCCAGGAACACGCGGCCCAGUCGCUCAUAUACCAGUCCUGCCCCCCAGAUGACCCGGGGGCCCCAUCGCACACACGGGGCCCUCUCCUUCUUCUGACACGUCUGUCAGAGGAUGGGUCCCCAAUUUGGUUUUUAAAACAUGGCCACCACAUAUACACACAUCUCCCUGCUUCUGAGCUUGCUGGCAGGCUUUGGCUGUAAGAAAGGACAGAUGUGGAGGGAUGGUCAUGAAGAAGGCUGGGGGCAAACAAAUCACAGAGUCUGUAUAUGGUGAUUCUGUCUGCGUUUUUAGUCGUGUGUGUUAGACGUGCACACGUAUUUGUGUACAAAUAGGUAGCGUACACUGACAUUAAAUCACAGUCCAGGGUCCUCUGGGGAGCGAGGAAACGUGAGUGUAAAAGUCAAGUUUACCACACAUACGUGUGUGUUGCUUUUUUUAUGAGACAACAUUGUCCUUGUAGUUUGUUUAAUUAAUAAACUAAAAUGUCAAGCCUCGCUGGUCCCACAUGGGGGCCGAGUGCUCACUGCCAUGGAGAGAUGAGGUGAGGGAGCCACAGGGCAGCGCUUUGUGAUGGAAAAGCACAACAUGAACAGCACUAAGGCAGGUGAGACCCUGAGGAGCUGAGGGUCAGAGUGGACCACAGGCGGCACGUGUCAGCGUGGAACAGCAGCAGUUUUAAAACUCAGAAAAGUAAGGUCAGGAGCUCCUGGGAGGAGCAGAGAUGGAUUCCAGAGUCGACUGCCUGCAGCAAACCCUGGCCCCUGUGGCCUCGGUCCUGGUCCUGGAGGGCGUGUCAGGGCCUAACCACCUCUUCCAUCAAGGGGCGAUGAUUGCAGACCAAGCUAAUAUAAUGAGCGGCAUUUAACUGCUAGCGACUGCCACCCAAGGAGAAAGAACACCGAGGCCAAGCACAA